rnacentral:rRNA from 1 species
GAUGAACGCUGGCGGCGUGCCUAAUACAUGCAAGUCGAACGAAACUUCUUUAUCACCGAGUGCUUGCACUCACCGAUAAAGAGUUGAGUGGCGAACGGGUGAGUAACACGUGGGCAACCUGCCCAAAAGAUGGGGAUAACACUUGGAAACAGGUGCUAAUACCGCAUAACCAUAGUUACCGCAUGGUAACUAUGUAAAAGGUGGCUAUACUACCGCUUUUGGAUGGGCCCGCGGCGCAUUAGCUAGUUGGUAGGGUAAAGGCUUACCAAGGCAAUGAUGCGUAGCCGAAUUGAGAGGUUGAUCGGCCACAUUGGGACUGAGACACGGCCCAAACUCCUACGGGAGGCAGCAGUAGGGAAUCUUCCACAAUGGGCGAAAGCCUGAUGGAGCAACGCCGCGUGGGUGAAGAAGGUCUUCGGAUCGUAAAACCCUGUUGUUAGAGAAGAAAGUGCGUGAGAGUAACUGUUCACGUUUCGACGGUAUCUAACCAGAAAGCCACGGCUAACUACGUG